rnacentral:misc_RNA from 1 species
GAAAUGCGAUAAGUAGUGUGAAUUGCAGAAUUCAGUGAAUCAUCGAAUCUUUGAACGCACAUUGCGCCCCUUGGUAUUCCAUGGGGCAUGCCUGUUCGAGCGUCAUUUGUACCCUCAAGCUCUGCUUGGUGUUGGGUGUUUGUCCCGUCUCCGCGCGUGGACUCGCCCCAAAGUGAUUGGCAGCCGGCGUACUGGUCCCGGAGCGCAGCACAUGUCGCGCAAACGAGUGCCUUGGUACGGCUGCGUCCAUAAGCCCCUCUCUCACGCUCUUGACCUCGGAUCAGGUAGGGAUACCCGCUGAACUUAAGC